UGCGAGGUGCAUAGAGAAACCGCCGCCGCUGCACCACCACGGAUUCGCUGCACGUGCGAGAAGGUGGUGGUGCCGGUGCCGCGCACGCACACGUGCACCGCUCGGAACGUACACGUGUGCACGGGGAACUUACGGGCGAGUGGUGAACCUAGUGAACACCGUGAACGACGACGUCGACGACGACGACGACGACGGCUACGGGGCAGAGUGGCGCGGAGGAGUAAGGAGGAAGGGUCUGUCGCAGCAACGAUGCCUGCCAGCCUGGUUGCAGUGCAGCAGCAGCGGGAGAAUCAACGAUAGUGGGGUGUUGUGCGGACAAGAUGUGGCUCUGACGGCAAUCGUUGGUGAGAAAUAACGCGAGAUUGUACAAAAUAAUAAAGCUGCAGGCCGUGUUAAACGAUAAGAAAAAGAAAAAGAAAACGAAAACGAAAGAAAGAAAGAAAGAAAGAAAGGAAAGGAAAAAUAAAUAAAUAAAAGGAAAUAAUAAUCAAAAGAAAAAUGAACGAGAACGACUGUGUAGAGGAGGGAAACGAGAGAAAAUAAUAGAUAACGAUACGAAUAAAUAAGAAUAAUACUAGAUGAAAAAUAGAGAAACGAAGGAAGGAACAAAACUUCAAACUGAAAUAAACUGAACCGAAUAAACGAAACGAAAAACUAAAGAGUAACUCUCACACUCUCGUCGUCCUGUGGGCUCCGAUACGUAG
rnacentral:misc_RNA from 1 species